rnacentral:rRNA from 1 species
GAUGAACGCUGGCGGCGUGCCUAACACAUGCAAGUCGAACGGAGACACGCAUUUAAGACCUUCGGGUCAAAGGGGGGAAGGCUGAGUGGCGGACGGGUGAGUAACACGUGGGCUACCUGGGACAUAGAGGGGGAUAACUGAGAGAAAUUUCUUAUAAUAUCGCAUAAGCACACACUGCCGUAUGGCCGUGGGUGAAAAGUGAAUCGCGAUGGGAUGGACCCGCGUCUGAUUAGCUAGUUCGCAGGGUAAGAGCCUACCACAGCGACGAUGAGUAGCCGAGCUGGGAGGAAGAACGGCCACAAUUGGGGUAGGACACAGCCCAAACUCCUACGGGAUGCAGGAGUGGGUGAUACUGCACAAUGGGGGGAACCCUGAUGCAGCGACGCCGGGUAAGUAAAGAAGUAGGUCGGUAUGUAAAUCUCUAUCAGCAGGGAAGAUAAUGACGGUACCUGAAGAAGAAGCCCCGGCUAACUACGUG